rnacentral:rRNA from 1 species
UACGAAGGGGGCUAGCGUUGUUCGGAAUUACUGGACGUAAAGCGUGCGCAGGCGGUUUGUUGUGUCGGCGGUGAAAGCCCCGGGCUCAACCUGGGAAUGGCCGUUGAAACUGGCGAACUGGAGUGUGGCAGAGGGGGGUGGAAUUCCGCGUGUAGCAGUGAAAUGCGUAGAGAUGCGGUGGAACACCGAUGGCGAAGGCAGCCCCCUGGGCUGACACUGACGCUCAGGCACGAAAGCGUGGGGAGCAAACAGG